ACGCUGGAUCUUAGGGGGAAGAGUAAGAGUUUUCUAGAUGGUGCAAAGGGUGAAAAGGCAUCCUAGUCAGAGGGAACCUUGUGAACAAAGAACUAGAAAAGUAGACGUUUGGCACAUGUCUGAAAGAUGGUGCGUGGCUGAUUGUGUCGUGGGGAGUGGUAGGCAGUGUGGCUGGAAGGGGCUGGCCGUCUGGGUGGCAUCGGGUUGUGAUGGAACUGGAGGCCUUGGCCAAGGCAUUUGUGGUAUCUUUAACCUAAUCCAUGCUCCUGGGUUUGGAACCUCUGUAGAUGUGUUAGGGAGGCUGAAACCUCUGUAGAUGUGGUAGGGAGGCUGCCACAGCAUUUUGAUAUUUCUCUUCUAAGAGUUGUCUUACUCCGUCUUGGCCCAGAGUUAUUCAUCAAUCCCUGGAGGCCAGAAUCUGAAUCGUCUUCGUUUCCCUCACUUCUCGCAGGGUCUACCAUAGUACCAGGCAUGGGGUAGGCUAAAGUCAUGUGUGUUGAAAUCAAGUUUGCCCUGUGUAAGCAGUGCCCUCAUCUGCCCAUUCAAGGACAACCAGUAGUGCUUGUGCGUGAAUGAACACAGGCUAGUAAAUGAAUCCAGGGGUUUUUACAGUUUCCAAAUUUGACUCAAUGUUGAGCACCUCUUGGGAAGGGGACAGUUUUGUGUUAAACCCACAAAACCAAUAUGAGAAACAAAUUCUCCCUGCGGUGACUUUGCCUUUUACAUUCAGCUCCCAGUGCUUUUCUGUGCCACGUUCAUGGAUCAUUAUUUUGAUGGGGGCCCUGUGAACAGUGAGCAAAUUUAAGACAGACUCUUCUCUUCUCCAGCUCUUUCCUGAGCAUUGGCUUUCAUAGGUCACCAUCCACGGUGAUGGUGGCUACAGAACAUUCGAGAGGUGAAGGACAGAUUUUCAAAGAAGGUUGAGGGGGAAAUGGCAGUUCUGGAGUCUCUAAAGUGACAUAUUUGUUUUACAUUAAGUCCCCCUGUUGGAAAAAAAAUGUCCAAAGAAGUGAGAAAUACUCAAGUGGUAGCAGCUGGUUGAAUGCUGUGAUUAUCUCACUUAGGGCUCAAAAGUCGCAAUUUUCUAUCUAAUUCACUCCUCAAUCAUUCCACGGCCCCUGUCUCAAGCUCAAUUUAAGCUCAGUCCCCAGUACCCAGAGCCACUGUAUAGUGUGUAAAGAAAUGACUGGCCAAAGGGACUGGGGGGAAAGACGGAGCCACGUGGUGACCAAAGCUUGAGUUACCAGCACUUCUGGGAUCACGUGACAUCUCUCCCCCAUGCCUCUCACCAAGCCCGUGUAAAAUAGGCCAUUUCUCCUUUAGCCUUUAAAUUGUGAUUAUCUCUGCCUGAUAGCCUAAUCUGAUCAGACAUAGCCCGAUGCUUCUCUUCAAAUGCUCACCAUAUAUAUUGGGGAAACAGACAAAUUUACUGGAAACUCGGGGGUAGUGCCUGGAUUGAAAGUUUGCUGCCUCCAGGGCUUUGAAUUGAAAUGGAAGCGGGCUGGCUCUCUGCAGAACUCCAUUACUGGUGAUGACUGUUUGUCUUUUUCAGAGAAGUUCGGGUGAGCAAUAAAUAUGACUGCUCUAUAGGGAGUGCGUCCUGGAAACUGUUGGAUCUUUCCUAACACAUGUCAAGUGUAUUUCAGUUUUCAAAAGCACAUAUCCAUUUAUACUCCCUUUUCCAUCUCACAGAAGCCCUAUGAAAGAAACGGCAACUGAGUUAUUAUUACCAAUCUGUGCAAUGCAUAAACCGAGGGCUGACAGGUUAAGAGCCUUGCCCAGCAGGACCCGGACUAGAACCUGAGUCUGAAGUGCAGUCCUGUGCUUGUGUGCGCAGAUCCAGCGGCCUCUUGGUUCACUGGUCAAGGGUGAGCUUUCCUGAAGCUUGUUAAACAUUGUGUUCUUACAUGAAUCCUUAAUGAACGCCAAUCAGUUGUCCCCUUCUUAGGGGUGACAUUCAAAGCUCAAGACUUAUGUGAUUGUUUCUGAGGAAGAACUUCUCUCCCCAACCCCAAGCAUGAAAACGUUUGGUGAAAAAGCAGGAUGUUCAGGCUUCACCACACUGAUCAUCAUGCUUCAGGCACGGGUUUCUUGCGGUGGCGGGAGUCCAGCAGGGCUAUUACACAGUCAGUAAUCUGGGGAUAUGCCGCAGAAAUACAUGAUUUCGCAUAACACUCUAAAAGACUUCAUUUUUAGCAUUGCUAGAUUUCUGUGUCUUUUUUCACAUUGGAAAAGGAGCCACACCAUCUCCCACAACCCAGCUCUUUGCCAAGAUUUGACUUAAAUAGCAUGAAUCACCUCAACCCCUCUUUUUGGCUGAAUCAAAGUUUCAGUGAGUCCAGCAUUUGAACUAAUGAGACCAACUGUUUUCUUUAGAAAUUUUUGGAAACGUAGGUGGCCAAGAGGUCACAUAGUAGAGCUUUGUUCUUUUGAAGGGGAAUAAUAAUAAACUCAUGUGUAUUGGUCCCUGAAAUUUACUGUUUUUGUUAGUAAUUGGUUUUGGUGUUCUCCCAUAACUUGGGGCACUGUGGCCAAGCACCUUAUGUUGUACUUUUCUUGAAUCAUUAAUGUGCUUUUUAUGUCAAUGUUUCAUCUGCCUAAAACCAACCCACUCCUCUCUCCCAUCUCAUUUCUCAACCAAAAGAUUUUUAAAAUCCCUCCUAGUCAACCUUAAAAACUCCUAUCCCCAAGUCAUACUUGCUUGCAAUUCUGGAAUGUAGUAUUAGUUAUAUGACAAACAUAAGCUCUGGAGUCAAACAAAAGUAAAGUUGAAUUCUGCUUUGCCAUUGACUAGUGGAUAAUUUUGGAUCUAUUCUACUUUAAAGCCUCAGUUUCCCUACUUUUAAAAUGAGAUUACAAUGGUCAUUUAUUAUAAGAUGACUAUGAAGAUUCUAGGAAAUAACAUACCUAAAUCAUUUUUUUUCUUUUUCUUUUUUGGCUGCACUCACAGCAUGUGGAAUUUGAUCCAGGGAUCAAACCAUCACUGCAGUUGCAACCUGUGCCACAGCUGUUGUAACAGUGGAUCCUUAACCAGUGUAUCAUAUGGGAACUUCCACCUAAAUCCUUUGGCAAAGCGAUUAUCGUGUAGAAAAUGCUCAGUAAAAAUGAGCAAUUAUUGGAGUUCUCUUGUGGCGCCACAGAUUAAGGAUCCAGGCGUUGUCAAUGCAGUGGCUCAGGUUCCUGCUGUGGCAUGGGUUCGAUCCCUGGCCUGGAAAUUUCCACAUGCUGCAGGGAUGGCCAAAAAAAAAAAAGAGCAAUUAUUAUUCCAUUAAGGCCAGAGUUAUAACAAUGCUGUUAACAAUCCCUUUUAUGCCAAUCUACUCACGUGGGGACAGGAAUAAGACAUAGAACAGAUAAACAUUUACAUGCCCAGGUGAAAUUGUUGUCUACAUAGGAAAGCAAAGAUAUUUGGGAAAACGGAAACAUUAUUUUUAAAAAUGAGAGUUGAGUGAGUCAAUUCAACAGACAAUAAAUAUACAAACAUCAGUGACUUUCUGGUGUAAUAGUGAUAAUCAGAACAUAGAAAGAUUAAAAUCAUUCAAAAUAGCACAAAAAUAUAAACUGUCUAAAAAUAAACUCCUUGAGUAAUUACACAGACUCUGUAUGAAGAAGACAAUACAUCUUCAGCAGGAGAAAGAAAAGAAGGCUUGGCUAGCUGGAAAAGGAGUCAUCUUCUUAGAGAGGAGAAACAGAUGCUGUCAACAAGUUAAUUCUUCUCAAAUGAAUGUACAUAUUUAAUGUAAUUCUAGUCGACAUCAUUUCGCUGCUUUUAUUUUCUGGAAACUUGACCGUGUAUUCUAAAGUUAAUCUUGAAUAGUAAAUGGAAUGAAAGAGCUAAAAAAUAUUUGAAAAGAAGGGCAAUAAGCAGGCUUUUCUCUAGUAAAUAUUGUAAUGUUCUAUAGAGUUAUGGUAAUUAAAACUGGAUGUUCUGGAAUAAAAAUCAACAGACAAAUGGGGUUGAAAUAGACCAAAAACAGACUCUAAUACAAAGAAGAGUUUACGAUAGGGACGUGGUCAGGGCUAGAUUGCAUAUUAGUUGAAAAACUGACGAUUAUUUAAUAAACAGUGUUCAGUCACCUGGUUAACUGACUAGGAGAAAAGACUACAAAUUAAAUCCCAGGGAGAAAGUGUAAAAUGUGAAAAAUUCAUAACAUGCAAAUGAAAGGAGAAAAUAUUGAGUAAUUUUUAUCUGAUCCUGGAAUUGUAAGGCUUUCUAGGCAUGAAGGAAAAGUGUGAUAAUUUUGAUCAUGUAAAAAUUUUUAAAAAAUUCUACGGCAGAAAUGUAACAAUCAAGCCAACAAAAAAUCCAACAAAUAAUAAAAUGGAAAAAUAUUUUUCAUAAAUCUGGUCUAAAAGGAUUUCUGUCUUUAACAAAUUAAGAGAUGAUAAGUAAGAAAUUAUCUAAUAUUCCACUUGAAAAAAAAUGAGUUUUGUCCAUGAACAAUUCCUGAGAGAUAUGUUAUUAAAAAUACAUGAAAAAAAAUGUCAUCAGAUUUGUCAGCAGAGAAAUUCAAAUUAAAACAAUGGACACAACUGACCAAGACUCUUUUUUUUUUUUUUUUUUUUUUGCUUUUUAGGGCCACACCUGCGGCAUAUGGAGGUUCCCAGGCUUGGGGGGGUCUAAUCAGAGCUACAGCUGCUGUCCUAUGCCACAGCCACAGCCACGCCAGAUCUGAGCCGAGUCUGCGACUUACACCACAGCUCAUGGCAAUGCCAGAUCUUUAGCCCACUGAGCGAGGGCAGGGAUGGAACCCGCAACCUCAUGGUUCCUAGUCGGAUUCCUUUCAACACUGUGCCAUGACAGGAACUCCCUGGCAAAGAUUCUGAGAAGCAGUUAUGUUUGUAAUGAUGUCAGUGAUGUACAGAAAGGAUAAAGAGAACAGGUCCUUCUUUCACUAGAUGAAGGCAGAAAACUGUCCAUGUCCCAACAGAGUCGAGAACAGAUGUGGAUUGAACAGUCAGACACAGUGGAGGGACAGGUAAUAUAUAAGAAAGAGUUCCCUUUGUGGUGCCGCAGAAAUGAAUCCAGCUAGUAUCCAUGAGGAUGCAGGUUUGAUAUCUGGCCUCACUCAGUGGGUUAAAGAUCUGGUGUUGCUGUGAGCUGUGGUGUAGGUCACAGCUGUGGUUCAGAUCUUGAAUUGCUGUGGCUGUGGUGUAGACCGGCAGCUAUAGCUAGCCCAGGAACUUCAUAUGCCGAGGGUGUGACCCUAAAAAGCAAAAAAAAAAAAGAAGAAAAUAAGGAGAUUUCAAGUGAAAGUCUGCAUACUGAACAGUGAGACCCCAGUUCUCUCUUCUUUUCCAAAGUGUUGGUGGCUUGCCAUAGUCCUGAUUGGAGAGGAACGUGAAGGAUUCUUUUCUGGGAAAACUGACCAGUCCAAUGGAAAAUGCCUCCUGUGACAAGAUCAGCUCUCCUCCAUGCUGCCCUGCAGUAAAACCCACCACUUGUAACGCCUUUCCACGCUCCUGGAACUUCCAGUCAGCUGUGGAUGUUUUCCUCUUGAAUGACCAGAUAUUACUGCAAGGCAUUCUAAUAUAAAAGAGAAAAACUAGAACAGAAAAAAAAAAAAAAAAAAAAAGGAAGCAAAUGGAGGCAGUGCAGGCCAGAGGAAAACAUGUUUUUAAAUCUUAAAUUUAUUUCUAGAGGUAAGAGAAUAUUGCAUGUAAGAACAUAUCACUAUGGGAAGGAAUGCUCAGAAAGCCAGAAUGAGCUCUUGGAAAUAAAAAAAAUAUAUAUGAAAGCAGAAAUUCAACUUAAUAUAAAAGUUGGAAAACACAUUUGAAAAAAUUCUGUGAGAAAUUAGAUAAAAAAGACAG
rnacentral:lncRNA from 1 species